GUGCUCACUUUGGUAGCACAUAUAUUAAAAUUAGAAUGAUACAGAGAAGAUUAGCAUGGCCCCUGUGAAAGGAUGACAAGCAAAUUCAUGAAGCAUUCCAUAUUUUU
ensembl:snRNA U6 U6 spliceosomal RNA